UAUGAUUUUAUUAGGCCAGACCAAUUUUAUUUCUUGUUUUACAGAUUUUUGUCCUAAGUAAACCUAAAGGCAGGUGGG